rnacentral:lncRNA from 1 species
GUCUCCAGCAGUAGACGCACAGCCCCACCCUCUUGCAGGCUCAUUCCUGUUAAUUCACAAAUAGGAAGGAAGAUCUUUUAAUAGGAUCUGUGGUUGCUGUUCCUGGACUUUACGUUUCCAGUUUAAAACACCAAGCAGUGUGAUGUCCUGCCAGCUCCUCCUCAUGCAGUCCCAUCACGCCUCGGGAAGAGCCAGGGCACAGCAAGACCGGAGGGAGGACCUUUGGGCUGGAUUCCUUUUUCUGUCUUUUUCCUGCUCUCAAAGCCUGGUGGUGGUGGUGUCACUGUUUGCUCUUCAGCCUGGGGGCACGGGGAUCCUUUCUCUGGCUUCCUUGCUUGGAAUGGAGGCCCACACUAAUAGCGCUACUUUUCAGAGUCGAAGCCCAAGUCCCUUUCCGUGCCACAUUCAUCUCGCUGCCUGGUACCAGGUCUACAUGAGUGACCCACCUCCCUUUCAAAUGUGAUGUGUAACAACCAUUGGACACAAUGUUUGGAAGCGAGUUGCUAACCAACAUUCUAUAGAACACAGUGAUCCAUCGAUGUGACUCACAGACAAGUCACUUCACCCCCAUGGACCUCACACUGGGUGUGCCAUUUGCUCUAGGUUGACUCAGGGCUUAACCCUUCCACAUCUGGGAAAUUCCACUCACCUUCUUUUUUCCACGAAGUCUCACACACGUCUGAGUGGCUCCGAGGACAUCUGUAGGAGGCAGAAACUGCCAGCCAGGAAGGGUGGAAGUGCAUGGCUUACGGUUAUUCCUCCACAGUUUUCGGCUGUUGGUAGGGACUACAAAGGAGGGGGAAUGCAAACUUCAGUCCUUCAGCAAUUAGACCCAGCAAUUAAACACUAAAGAAAGUGUGACUUUCAAUCUAGCCAUGUAGGCAGUUUUAGAUUCAAGAAGAGUUCAGUAUUCCCUGAGAUUAAAUGAGUCAUCCCACCCAUGAGCCUGCAGAAUGUGAGUGUGCAUGUGAGCAUGCAUGCCUAUGUAUGAGCAUGCAGAGACCAUAAGAAGACAUUAGAUGUCUGCCUCCAUUGUUCUUCACCUCAUUGCCUUGAGACAGGGACUCUCACUGGACCAGAAGCUAGCUACCUUGGCUAGGUUGGCUGGCCAGUAACCUCCAGAGCUUCGAAGGCUCCAAGGCCUGGACGUUAGUUGAAGUCAUGUGGGUCUUUAUAGAGCUCAUCGAGUUCAAAACGAGGUCAUAAGGGCAACUCGAAUCCAAUAUAGCUGGUGCCACAGAAGGAUAAUUUUGGAUCUGGAGUCACACACACAGAAAGGGAAUGUGAGACACAGGAGAAGA